GUGCUCGCUUUGGCAGCACAUAUACUAAAAUUGGAACAGUACAAUGAAGAUUAGCAUGGCCCUGCACAAGGAUGACAUGCAAAUUAGUGAAGUGUUCCAUAUAUUU
ensembl:snRNA U6 U6 spliceosomal RNA